GCUCUGGCAGCGUCGUCUCUA
rnacentral:miRNA from 1 species